AAUCAAUGAACUUGAAUAAGUAUAUAUUUUGAAAAUAUAAUAAAGAAUAAUUAAUUCUAUUGAUUU
rnacentral:tRNA from 1 species